rnacentral:rRNA from 1 species
AGAGUUUGAUCCUGGCUCAGAUUGAACGCUGGCGGCAUGCCUUACACAUGCAAGUCGGACGGCAGCGCGGGAGCAAUCCUGGCGGCGAGUGGCGAACGGGUGAGUAAUACAUCGGAACAUGUCCAGUAGUGGGGGAUAGCCCGGCGAAAGCCGGAUUAAUACCGCAUACGAUCUAUGGAUGAAAGCGGGGGAUCGCAAGACCUCGCGCUAUUGGGGUGGCCGAUGGCGGAUUAGCUAGUUGGUGGGGUAAAGGCCUACCAAGGCGACGAUCCGUAGCUGGUCUGAGAGGACGACCAGCCACACUGGGACUGAGACACGGCCCAGACUCCUACGGGAGGCAGCAGUGGGGAAUUUUGGACAAUGGGGCAACCCUGAUCCAGCAAUGCCGCGUGUGUGAAGAAGGCCUUCGGGUUGUAAAGCACUUUUGUCCGGGAAGAAAUCCCCUGCCCUAAUACGGCGGGGGGAUGACGGUACCGGAAGAAUAAGCACCGGCUAACUACGUGCCAGCAGCCGCGGUAAA